AUGCUGCUCAUGAAGAAGAGUGAACUGAGGACUUCUGUAGAGCCAUAUAAGUUUGUGCUUGACUUGGAUGAAGUGGAAUCAUCACUGGGACACUUCAACAUUGCAUUGCUUGAGCUCCCCGGAAGAGAGCUAAAGGGAUUCAAUCAAAUCUUGCUUGGCGUCACUUGCCUUCAGAUUGCAGGAACGUUUGUGUUGAAGAUUUAA